ensembl:lncRNA
GCUCCCUCUUCUCCACUCUGCCCAGCGGAUGUUUGCCUCGCAGACUGAGGGGGAGCGCAAAGUGACCCAAAUUCUCAAAGAAAAAUUUCCUCGAGCUACAGCUAUCAAAGUCACUGACAUUUCAGGAGGCUGUGGGGCAAUGUAUGAAAUUCAAAUCGAAUCAGAAGAAUUUAAGGAGAAGAGAACUGUCCAGCAGCACCAGAUGGUAAAUCAGCUUCUCAUCAGACAGCCCUGCCUGGUUCCCUGAGGACAGGGCACCCCUGUGAUCACCUGCGGCACCCUGGCAUUAAAAGAAGAAAUCAAAGGCAUGCACGGAUUGCGGAUAUUUACCUCUGUCCCCAAACACUGACUACGCCCGGCGCUGUAGCUGCUGCUUUUGCACCUCGGAUGAAUUUGACGGACACCAUUCUUUCCUAAGGCAUCAGACCAGGAUGUUAUCUAUUUUGUUCAUAGACAUUUCCAUAUUAUAAUUAUAGAAGACUAUGUUAUCUAUUUAGAUGUUGAAGGCAACUGAUAACUAAAUUUUUUUUUCAUUGCAAAAAUAUUUAUUGAAUCCUGCUCUGUGCGAGGCGACAUUCUCAGUAUGGGGAUAAUGUAAUUAACAGGAGCAGACCAAGAAAGAACUAUGCGAAAUUUCCGAAGAGUCAUUAGUAAUGCUUCUAGUUCCUUUAUUUCAGGAGUGUGUUCUUUUGUUCAGAGUGGUCUCGUCUUUGAACAGGUCUGUCCUUCUCUAGAGGCAGAAUACAGUGCCAGCCUCUGUCUUAUCACGAAACUUUCUUACGAGUUCCCAUUGUGGCUCAGCAGUAAGGAACUUGACUGGUAUCCAUUAGGACGCGGUUUCAAUCUUUGGCCUUGCUCAGUUGGUUGGGGAUCCCAAGUUGCCGUGAGCUGUGGUGUAGGUCACAGACAAGGCUAGGAUCUGGCAUUGCUGUGGCCGUGGGGUGGGUUGGCGGCUGCAGUUCCAAUUCAACCCCUAGCCUGGAAACCUCCGUGUGCCACGGGUGCAGCCCUAAAAAAAGAAACUUUCUUAUUUCUUCUCCACUAUGAAACUGCUCAGGCCCCUUAAUCUUUAGGGCCAUACCCAUGGCUUAUGUAAGUUCCCAGGCUAGGGGCUCCCAUAGGAGCCAUAGCUGCUAGCCUACAUGACAACCACAGCAAUGCCAUAUCCAAGCGGCACCUGUGACCACACCAAAGCUUGUGGCAUCACUGGAUCUUUAGCCCACCAGCGAGAUCAGAGAUUGAACCCACAUCUUCACAAAUACUAGUCAGGUUCUUAACCUGCUGAGCCACAACGGGAACUCCCAGCCCCUUAAUCUUGCCAAAAAGAAAAGAAAAGAUCCUUUGGCUUUGCUCUUGCCUUAGUUACAAUUCUCCCCCUUGAAACUUCUCUGCAACAGUGAUCUCAGACCCUCAGUUUCUCCCUUCCUGAGCGGAUUCUGAGGAGACUGGGCUGCCUGGAUCAGGGUCUUCUUUGACCUUGGGAGGUCAAGCCUACCUCCCAUGACAGAAGCUAAAAAGGCCUGCUUUCCUGCUCCUUGGCAAACAGGGUGCAGGCCAAUGACCUAGACUCAGGUGGCUCUGCCUUGGGAGCAAGGGACGCUGAGAAGCAGGGGCAGUGGCGUGUCCAUUUUGGCAGCUGAGGCAGCAGUGUCCAGGUCUCUGGAGUCCAAAGUGAUAGUCACAGCGUCUGCAGCAUAAAGUGGACUCUGGCCACAGUCUUCCUGUUCCAGCCCCUUUUCAGAAGCUGCUUCGUUGGUAUUCCCAGAAAUUCUGAUUGUCCUCAUAUCCUGUCACUAAAUUCUUUUCUGCUCACAUAGGCCUGGUCAGUGUCUGCUGCUUACAACCAAGAGCCCUGAUGGGUUCACUCACCUCUCACAGUGUGGCUCCUGCCCUCCUGCUCCCAUCUCUUUCCUGGACAAUUUUUUUUUUUUCUUUGUAGAGCCACACCUGAGACAUAUGGAGGUUCCCAGGCUAGGGGUCAAAUCAGAGCUACAGGUGCCAGCCUACACCACAGCAAUGCGGGAUCCCAUCCACAUCUGUGACGUACACCACAGCUCAUGGCAACACCAGAUCCUUAACCCACUGAGCAAGGCCAGGGAUCGAACCUGCAUCUUCAUGGAUCCUAGUUGGGUUUGUUAACCACUGAGCCAUGAAGGGAACUCCAUCCUCAACUCCUCCUCUGUCUUUCACACUGACCACUAGAGAAAUCAGUGGUCACUAUCAGUUCUUAAAACCCCUCUUACCUCCCUAAGAAAUAACAGUAUAUAGGUAGAACAACCUUGGGCCCCAGAGUUUUGAAGCAGCACAAAUUUAAAUAUUCUUUGCAUAUACUAUGGCCCUCUUUUGGUUUAAGAUGAUUCUCUAACCCCACAGUGUGGGGGAGGGGUUGCUGUCCUAUCAAGGCAGAACUGCCUUUUACAUGAAAUUGAUUCACUCAGUUGGGGGUUUUUUUCUUCUCCUUUUUAGCUGCCCCACAGCACAGGGAGUUCCCAGGCUAGGGAUCAGAUCUGAGCCACAGCUGCAACCUAUGCAGCAUCUGCAGUAGUGCCAAAUCCUUUAACCCACUGUGCCCGGCUGCAAUUGAACCUACGUCCUCACGCUCCACAGACAUUGCCAAUCCUGUUGUGCCACAGUGGGAACCCCAGUUCACUCAGUUGUAUCAGCUGAGAAGACAAGAUAAAACAGAACUCCUAAGGGCCAGGGCACCUCUGAAAGCCAUUCACCCCAGAGGACAGCUUAUAGGUGGUAUAUUGAGGAGAUGCCUAAGACAAGUCCCAGAGGCAAGAAGGCGGCAGUGGCCCGUGAGGACAGAGACUUCAAAAUUCGAUACCUGUUGACUAUCUGUGUAGAGCUUGACUGUCCUCCUGAGGGCGGGCUGGACAUAGCGAUCCCCUCCUAAAGAACAGAAUAAAGUGCGAGUGACUGCA